AGUGAACGCUGGCGGUAGGCCUAACACAUGCAAGUCGAACGGCAGCACAGUAAGAGCUUGCUCUUACGGGUGGCGAGUGGCGGACGGGUGAGGAAUACAUCGGAAUCUACUUUUUCGUGGGGGAUAACGUAGGGAAACUUACGCUACUACCGCAUACGACCUACGGGUGAAAGCAGGGGAUCCUCGGACCUUGCGCGAUUGAAUGAGCCGAUGUCGGAUUAGCUAGUUGGCGGGGUAAAGGCCCACCAAGGCGACGAUCCGUAGCUGGUCUGAGAGGAUGAUCAGCCACACUGGAACUGAGACACGGUCCAGACUCCUACGGGAGGCAGCAGUGGGGAAUAUUGGACAAUGGGCGCAAGCCUGAUCCAGCCAUACCGCGUGGGUGAAGAAGGCCUUCGGGUUGUAAAGCCCUUUUGUUGGGAAAGAAAAGCAGCAGGUUAAUACCCCGCUGUUCUGACGGUACCCAAAGAAUAAGCACCGGCUAACUUCGUG
rnacentral:rRNA from 1 species